rnacentral:rRNA from 1 species
CACGGGGGGAGCAAGCGUUGUUCGGAAUCACUGGGCGUAAAGGGCGUGUAGGCGGUCAGGUAAGUGGGACGUGAAAAUGCCUCGGCUCACCCGAGGAGCGGCGUCCCAUACUGCUUGGCUUGAGUACGGGAGAGGAUGUGGGAAUUCCUGGUGUAGCGGUGAAAUGCGUAGAUAUCAGGAGGAACACCGGUGGCGAAGGCAGGUCUCUGGGCUAUAACUGACGCUGAGGAGCGAAAGCGUGGGGAGCGAACAGG